rnacentral:lncRNA from 1 species
ACGGUCAUUAGGUUAGUCGAUUAACUAAAUCGGAUAGUCGACUAACAUGCCUUGCGGAAAAGGUCCAGUUUAAUAGAAUAUAUUGGUUAAUCGAUUAGUCGACUAAGAAUAUUAAUUUACCUCAUCAUAUUCACUAUUCAUAAAAUAGUUGAUGCACCUUUGGGUAUAUCCUUAAGUUCUAGCUAUAGUGAAAAUUAAUUUAUCCACUAUUUUUAAUUAUAG